GAUGAACGCUAGCGGCAGGCUUAACACAUGCAAGUCGAGGGGCAGCACGGGUAGCAAUACCUGGUGGCGACCGGCGCAAGGGUGCGUAACGCGUGAGCAACAUGCCCUAUACAGGGGGAUAAUCCAGGGAAACUUGGUCUAAUAUCCCAUAGUAUUUAGAGGAGGCAUCUUCUAUAAAUUAAAGCUUCGGUGGUAUAGGAUUGGCUCGCGUGACAUUAGCUAGAUGGUGAGGUAACGGCUCACCAUGGCAAUGAUGUCUAGGGGUUCUGAGAGGAAGGCCCCCCACACUGGGACUGAGACACGGCCCAGACUCCUGCGGGAGGCAGCAGUGAGGAAUAUUGGACAAUGGAUGGAAAUCUGAUCUAGCCAUGCCGCGUGCAGGAAGACAGCCCUAUGGGUUGUAAACUGCUUUUAUAUGGGAGCAAUAAGGUCUACGUGUAGACUGAUGAGAGUACCAUAUGAAUAAGC
rnacentral:rRNA from 1 species